CUCGUAGGCGGCCUGCCAAGUCCCACGUGAAAGACCAGGGCUCAACCCUGGGGACGCGAGGGAAACUGGCAAGCUGGAAUCUUGGAGGGGGUACUGGAAUUCCUGGUGUAGGGGUGAAAUCUGUUGAUAUCAGGAAGAACACCGGUGGCGAAGGCGAGUACCUGGCCAAAGAUUGACGCUGAUGAGCGAAAGCGUAGGGAGCGAACA
rnacentral:rRNA from 1 species